CCUACGGGUGGCAGCAGUGAGGAAUAUUGGUCAAUGGGCGGAAGCCUGAACCAGCCAAGCCGCGUGAAGGACGAAGGCUCUAGGGAUUGUAAACUUCUUUUGUAAAGGAACAAAAUGAGGCACGAGAGCCUUAUGGAGGGUACUUUAUGAAUAAGCAUCGGCUAACUCCGUGCCAGCAGCCGCGGUAAUACGGAGGAUCCGAGCGUUAUCCGGAUUUAUUGGGUUUAAAGGGAGCGUAGAGGGGUUGGUAAGGCAGUUGUGAAAGGCUGGGGCUCAACCGCUGAAUUGCAGUUGAGACUGGCUGUCUUGAGUACAGUAGAGGUAGGCGGAAUUCGUAGUGUAGCGGUGAAAUGCUUAGAUAUUACGAAGAACUCCGAUUGCGAAGGCAGCUUACUGGACUGCAACUGACGUUGAGGCUCGAAAGUGUGGGUAUCAAACAGGAUUAGAUACCCUAGUAGUC
rnacentral:rRNA from 1 species